GGAGGUUGGCCCUCCUGCAUCGGCGUUCCAGCCGCAGAUGCAAAACCACGACACUGUGGCUUCGCUUAAAAGGCGCGGUCAUCAGCAAGUGUUGCAAAAGUCCCGGGUUUACGGGGCAGGU
rfam:Bradyrhizobium sp. AS23.2 Bradyrhizobium_AS_23.2_c86, whole genome shotgun sequence.